rnacentral:rRNA from 2 species
CAAGCGAACAAGUGCAUGUGGUGGAUGCCUUGGCGAUCACAGGCGAUGAAGGACGCGGUAGCCUGCGAAAAGCUACGGGGAGCUGGCAAACGAGCUUUGAUCCGUAGAUGUCCGAAUGGGGAAACCCGGCCCUUUUGGGUCAUCCUAGACUGAAUACAUAGGUCUAGUGAAGCGAACGCGGUGAACUGAAACAUCUAAGUAACCGCAGGAAAAGAAAUCAACCGAGAUUCCCAAAGUAGUGGCGAGCGAAAUGGGAAGAGCCUGUACUCUUUAUUUGUAUUGUUAGCCGAACGCUCUGGAAAGUGCGGCCAUAGCAGGUGAUAGCCCUGUAGGCGAAAACAGUAUGAAAGAACUAGGUGUACGACAAGUAGGGCGGGACACGUGAAAUCCUGUCUGAAGAUGGGGGGACCAUCCUCCAAGGCUAAAUACUCGUGAUCGACCGAUAGUGAACCAGUACCGUGAGGGAAAGGCGAAAAGAACCCCGGGAGGGGAGUGAAAUAGAUCCUGAAACCGCAUGCAUACAAACAGUCGGAGCCUCUUCGGGGGUGACGGCGUACCUUUUGUAUAAUGGGUCAGCGACUUACGUUCAGUAGCAAGCUUAACCGAAUAGGGCAGGCGUAGCGAAAGCGAGUCCGAAUAGGGCGUUCAGUUGCUGGGCGUAGACCCGAAACCAGGUGAUCUAUCCAUGGCCAGGAUGAAGGUGCGGUAACACGUACUGGAGGUCCGAACCCACUAACGUUGAAAAGUUAGGGGAUGAGCUGUGGAUAGGGGUGAAAGGCUAAACAAACCUGGAAAUAGCUGGUUCUCUCCGAAAACUAUUUAGGUAGUGCCUCGUGUCUCACCUUCGGGGGUAGAGCACUGUCAUGGUUGGGGGGUCUAUUGCAGAUUACCCCGCCAUAGCAAACUCCGAAUACCGAAGAGUGCAAUCACGGGAGACAGACAUCGGGUGCUAACGUCCGGUGUCAAGAGGGAAACAACCCAGACCGCCAGCUAAGGUCCCCAAAUAUGGCUAAGUGGGAAACGAAGUGGGAAGGCUAAAACAGUCAGGAGGUUGGCUUAGAAGCAGCCACCCUUUAAAGAAAGCGUAAUAGCUCACUGAUCGAGUCGUCCUGCGCGGAAGAUGUAACGGGGCUAAGCCAUAUACCGAAGCUGCGGAUGCGAGCUAGUCUCGCAUGGUAGGAGAGCGUUCCGUAAGCCUGCGAAGGUGCGUUGAAAAGCGUGCUGGAGGUAUCGGAAGUGCGAAUGCUGACAUGAGUAGCGAUAAAGGGGGUGAAAGGCCCCCUCGCCGUAAGCCCAAGGUUUCCUACGCAACGUUCAUCGGCGUAGGGUGAGUCGGCCCCUAAGGCGAGGCAGAAAUGCGUAGCUGAUGGGAAGCAGGUCAAUAUUCCUGCACCAUUGUUAGAUGCGAUGGGGGGACGGAUCGCGGAAGGUUGUCCGGGUGUUGGAAGUCCCGGUCGCUGCAUUGGAGAAGGCGCUUAGGCAAAUCCGGGCGCAGGAUUCAAGGGUGUGGCGCGAGCGCUCUAGGGCGCGAAGCAAUUGGAAGUGGUUCCAAGAAAAGCCUCUAAGCUUCAGUCUAACGAUGACCGUACCGCAAACCGACACAGGUGGGCGAGAUGAGUAUUCUAAGGCGCUUGAGAGAACUCGGGAGAAGGAACUCGGCAAAUUGGUACCGUAACUUCGGGAUAAGGUACGCCCUGGUAGCUUGACUGGCCUGCGCCAGAAGGGUGAAGGGGUUGCAAUAAACUGGUGGCUGCGACUGUUUAAUAAAAACACAGCACUCUGCAAACACGAAAGUGGACGUAUAGGGUGUGACGCCUGCCCGGUGCCGGAAGAUUAAAUGAUGGGGUGCAAGCUCUUGAUUGAAGUCCCGGUAAACGGCGGCCGUAACUAUAACGGUCCUAAGGUAGCGAAAUUCCUUGUCGGGUAAGUUCCGACCUGCACGAAUGGCGUAACGAUGGCCACACUGUCUCCUCCCGAGACUCAGCGAAGUUGAAGUGUUUGUGAUGAUGCAAUCUACCCGCGGCUAGACGGAAAGACCCCAUGAACCUUUACUGUAGCUUUGCAUUGGACUUUGAACCGAUCUGUGUAGGAUAGGUGGGAGGCUAUGAAACCGGAACGCUAGUUUCGGUGGAGCCGUCCUUGAAAUACCACCCUGGUUUGUUUGAGGUUCUAACCUUGGCCCGUGAUCCGGGUCGGGGACAGUGCAUGGUAGGCAGUUUGACUGGGGCGGUCUCCUCCCAAAGCGUAACGGAGGAGUACGAAGGUACGCUAGGUACGGUCGGAAAUCGUGCUGAUAGUGCAAUGGCAUAAGCGUGCUUAACUGCGAGACCGACAAGUCGAGCAGGUGCGAAAGCAGGUCAUAGUGAUCCGGUGGUUCUGUAUGGAAGGGCCAUCGCUCAACGGAUAAAAGGUACUCUGGGGAUAACAGGCUGAUACCGCCCAAGAGUUCAUAUCGACGGCGGUGUUUGGCACCUCGAUGUCGGCUCAUCUCAUCCUGGGGCUGUAGCCGGUCCCAAGGGUAUGGCUGUUCGCCAUUUAAAGAGGUACGUGAGCUGGGUUUAAAACGUCGUGAGACAGUUUGGUCCCUAUCUGCCGUGGGCGUUGGAAGUUUGAAGGGGGCUGCUCCUAGUACGAGAGGACCGGAGUGGACGAACCUCUGGUGUACCGGUUGUGACGCCAGUCGCAUCGCCGGGUAGCUAUGUUCGGAAGAGAUAACCGCUGAAAGCAUCUAAGCGGGAAACUCGCCUUAAGAUGAGACUUCCCCGGGGACUUGAUCCCCUUGAAGGGUCGUUCGAGACCAGGACGUUGAUAGGUCGGGUGUGUAAGCGCAGUAAUGCGUUCAGCUAACCGAUACUAAUUGCCCGUACGGCUUGAUCC